rnacentral:rRNA from 1 species
AGCCAGACUCCACGGGAGGCAGCAGUGGGGGAUAUUGCACAAUGGGGGGAACCCUGAUGCAGCGACGCCGCGUGAGUGAAGAAGUAUUUCGGUAUGUAAAGCUCUCUCGGCAGGGAAGAAAAAAAUGACAGUACCUGACUAAGAAGCCCCGGCUAACUACGUGCCAGCAGCCGCGGUAAUACGUAGGGGGCAAGCGUUAUCCGGAUUUACUGGGUGUAAAGGGGGCGCAGACGGCGAUGCAAGCCAGGAGUGAAAGCCCGGGGCCCAACCCCGGGACUGCUCUUGGAACUGCGUGGCUAGAGUGCAGGAGGGGCAGGCGGAAUUCCUGGUGUAGCGGUGAAAUGCGUAGAUAUCAGGAGGAACACCGGUGGCGAAGGCGGCCUGCUGGACUGCAACUGACGUUGAGGCCCGAAAGCGUGGGGAGCAAACAGGAUUAGAUACCCGAGUA